rnacentral:sRNA from 1 species
GCGGCCGCGGCCUGCAACGUCAUCGUGAACGGCACGCGCGGCGCCGCCGCCGAGGGCGCUAAGAGCGCGGAGCCGCCUCCCGAGCAGCCGCCGCCGCCACCGCCGCCCGCGCCCCCCAAGAAGCUGCUGUCGCCUGAGGAACCGGCGGUGAGCGAGCUAGAGUCGGUCAAGGAGAAUAACUGUGCUUCCAACUGCCACCUGGACGGGGAGGCGGCCAAAAAGCUGAUAGGCGAGGAGGCCCUGGCGGGGGGCGACAAGUCAGACCCGAACCUUAAUAACCCCGCGGACGAGGACCAUGCCUAUGCUCUGCGGAUGCUGCCCAAGACCGGCUGCGUGAUCCAGCCUGUGCCAAAACCCGCGGAGAAGGCUGCCAUGGCGCCGUGCAUCAUCUCCUCGCCCAUGCUCAGCGCCGGGCCUGAGGACCUGGAGCCGCCGCUCAAAAGGAGGUGCCUCCGAAUUAGAAAUCAGAAUAAGUAAAAGGUAAUGGGAGGCUUCGAUAGGGAAGAGGGUGGCAUUGCUAAAGUGAGUGACACUGCACAUCUCUGACCUCAUAGACACCUGCCUAAUG